rnacentral:misc_RNA from 1 species
GAUGAAGAACGCAGCGAAAUGCGAUACGUAAUGUGAAUUGCAAAUUCAGUGAAUCAUCGAGUCUUUGAACGCACAUUGCGCCCCCUGGUAUUCCGGGGGGCAUGCCUGUCCGAGCGUCAUUGCUGCCCUCAAGCACGGCUUGUGUGUUGGGCCCCGUCCUCCGAUCCCGGGGGACGGGCCCGAAAGGCAGCGGCGGCACCGCGUCCGGUCCUCGAGCGUAUGGGGCUUUGUCACCCGCUCUGUACGCCCGGCCGGCGCUUGCCGAUCAACCCAAAUUUUUAUCCAGGUUGACCUCGGAUCAGGUAGGGAUACCCGCUGAACUUAAGCAUAUCAAUAAGCGGAGGA